GACGAACGCUGGCGGCGUGCUUAACACAUGCAAGUCGAACGGAAAGGCCCUGCUUUUGUGGGGUGCUCGAGUGGCGAACGGGUGAGUAACACGUGAGUAACCUGCCCUUGACUUUGGGAUAACUUCAGGAAACUGGGGCUAAUACCGGAUAGGAGCUCCUGCUGCAUGGUGGGGGUUGGAAAGUUUCGGCGGUUGGGGAUGGACUCGCGGCUUAUCAGCUUGUUGGUGGGGUAGUGGCUUACCAAGGCUUUGACGGGUAGCCGGCCUGAGAGGGUGACCGGCCACCAUGGGGACGGCGAGCGGCCCCAGAGUCGGGGGGGGGGAUAAGGGGGGGAAUAUGGAAAAGGGGGGGGGCGCUGGAGGCAGAAGGCCCGGGGGGGGGAGGGCGGCUUGGGGUUUGAAAACGUGUUCCCCCUGUGAAGAGGGGGGGGGGAGGGUAAGGGAAAAAGAGGCACCGGCAAACUCCGUG
rnacentral:rRNA from 1 species